GGCGGGGCCGCGGGGCCUGGAAGCAGCCUCCGGGAUCUGCAAGUCUGGAAAGGCCACGUUGUGGACCUUGGCGCAGAGGUUAUGGGGGCGACCCGGAGCGGAUGGUUUCAGGAAAACUAGAACCCACCCUCAUGGCCUGAACAACUGGAGAGAAGAGGAUCGCAGCAAUUUAAAGCCAGCGGCAAGGAUCACAGUCCUGGGGUCAGGUCUCCCCUCAAUGGGAAGUAGAAUCUCUUUCUCCACCUCUUCAAUAUGGCUGGCCCUGGAACUUCCCUUGGCACACAGAAUGCAGCAGAAUUGGCUUCAUGUUGUUUCUAAGCCUUGGCCUCAGAGGCCUUGCAUGCUUCCUAACCCUGGCUCUAGGAAACUUGCUGCUGUCAUGUAAGCAAGCCCAGGCUAACCUACUGAAUGUUGGUGUGUCCCAGUCAAAUCCAGCACUGCAACCAAUAGCCAGGCAGCCACCAGACAUGUGAGUGGGGCCACCUCACACCAGCCAACCUCCACCAAGUCAUCAGAUGUAUGAGUGAGAACAGCCCAGAACAACUGAGCCCGUCCAGACCAGCGGAACAACCAAGCUGACCAGUAGACUUAGGAGCAGUAAACAGAUGAUUGUUAUGGAAGCCAUUCUGUUUAGGGUGUGUGUGUUAUUGCUUGCAUCCAAAUACAUCCUAUCUCAUCUAAUGAGAAAAGGCCCUGCUCAAGGGCUUUUGCAGCUGUAGUUGGGCGCCGGAAGUGUCUUUGUGGUCAUUUCUUACUCCAUACACGGGGAGAUCAAGGCUCAGACCAGGUAGUGUGACUGUGGACAACACUUUCCUUACCCCUCUGUGACACUUAAAUCAAUGAAGCAGAUUCACAGAAGCAUGCAUGCUCACUGAACACAGUAUUUGCAUUCCUACCUCCAAACCUUUGCUCCACCCAUGCAUCCAGUAAGAAUGCCUACUUCCCUCCUCUCCUCCAUCGAGUUCUUUCUUUGAGUUCUACCUUCCCUAGUCUUCCUCCACUGCACCAACCCACGGUGAUCCCUGUCUCUUCCAAAUGCUUUGUAACAUGGUAGGCAUCACUCACUUGUGACUCAUUGGACCAUUUUAAAACUUGGUUUUCUGUGUCUCUUUUCCAACAAAAUUACAAAUUCUUUGAGGGUAAAAGUCAGGCCUAAUAGUUCUCUGUACUCCUAGUAGUGCCAGUGUGGUAAAAAUUUAACUUGACAAUUAGCAAAACCAAUAAAUUCCUUACACUAUUCUGUUCCUGUAGGUAAUCAGUAUAUGAAUAUGGAUUCCUAUGUGAUGAUUUUCUGGUCUAUUUUGUCCCUUUUUUUUUUUUGUUACUUUAACCAGGCCAUAACAUAAAGGUUAUGCCAUUUGUUACUGUCAAGCUUAAUUAAGCCCAUUAUAAUUCGUUAACCCCUGUGCUUGCUUUGUAAUUAACAUUGAUUAACACAAACAAGUACAAAAUAGGCCAUCAGCACUUUCCAGAAGUGCUGAUUACAAUUACAUUGGUAAUUCAAUACGGUAUAGAAGAUGGCAGGAUAGUAACUUGCACUCUGUUUACAUAAGGAGACAAAUGCUACCAUGCAAAACUAAGCCAAGAAACAAAAUACUUUCCUCAUCCAACUCACUGAUUAAACCCUUACCCUGUUAACUCACCCUAUGACUGUGUAAACCUCCAGUAAGAUUAUUGAAGGCACAGCUCCAAGUAACUUGCUUAAUUGCAUUCCUGGGACAAAAGAGGGAAGCGCUUCAAAGCUGACAGACAGAUGGUAGAGUGUCCAGUCACAGCAAAGCAGGCCCCGAGGCUCAUGACAGACAACUCCAGGGCUGAGAUCUCAUUUGUAGCUCUGGGAUAAAGUCCAGGGUUUGAUGGCAGCAGGCUGAAGUGUAAAGAUGCUCAACAAUGCGCACCCCAGAGACACUGAAUCUGAAAAAGCUUAGAGUGAAUAAAAAUCUGGAAAUGAACUCUGUCUGUCUAUUCACCAUUCCCCCCAUAAAAAAAUUCCUAUAUUCCGGAUGGUGUUCAAGUUCCCUUUCCACAGGACCUCAGCAGUCAGGGAGGUGCUCCUGCAAUCUAUGUGAAGGAGAUUUCACCAUGCCCACAUGGGAAUACAGUAGAUUGCCAGUAGGGAUGCCACACCUUUGCAUUUCCUCGUAUUUCCAGGAACAAAGCUGGGGUGCCUAGGAGCUGCAGCAGUUUUUCUUCUGUGUAAAAUAAGCAAGCAGGACUCUGCCCCACUGCACUCCAGGGAAGGAUUAAGAGAAUUGAUAUCAUCCAAAUCAAUUGGCCCUGUGCAGAUGACUUGAUAAUGAGGCCAUUGAGUUUUUAUGGUUCACUAUUAUUGCUACAAAAAUUAUGCUGCAGAAAUCAUUCAAAUGCUCAAAAAGGAGCAUUAGUACGAAACUGGGUGUUCCAAAGUUGUUGCUGAGAGGUGUGUAAUGUUCCUGAAGAUCCCCAAGGCACUAAGACUUCUCUGUACAUGAAUGACUCAUAGAGAAGAAAUACACCAGAUGAAAAUAUAUGGAGAAGUUUGCCGAAUGUCAUAUAACUU
rnacentral:lncRNA from 1 species